rnacentral:rRNA from 1 species
GUACCAGACUCCUACGGGAGGCAGCAGUGGGGGAUAUUGCACAAUGGGGGGAACCCUGAUGCAGCGACGCCGCGUGGGUGAAGGAGCGUUUCGGCGCGUAAAGCCCUAUCGGCAGGGAAGAAGGAGGACGGUACCUGACUAAGAAGCCCCGGCUAACUACGUGCCAGCAGCCGCGGUAAUACGGAGGGGGCAAGCGUUAUCCGGAGUUACUGGGUGUAAAGGGCGUGUAGCCGGGCUGACAAGUCAGAUGUGAAAUCCGGGGGCUCAACCCCCGAACUGCAGUUGAAACUGUUGGUCUUGAGUAUCGGAGAGGCAGGCGGAAUUCCUAGUGUAGCGGUGAAAUGCGUAGAUAUUAGGAGGAACACCAGUGGCGAAGGCGUCUUACUGGACCGAAACUGACGUUGAGGCUCGAAAGCGUGGGGAGCAAACAGGAUUAGAUACCCUCGUACUU